AGCGACACUGCUCCAUAGAAUCAUUUCUAUAGGAAGCGUCUCUUGCUGAUUCUCUAAAUCAGCCACAGUUAUUUCCCAUCCUUGCUGAUGACCUCGAGGUCCUCGAUGCCCUAAAGUGAAGCUCUUCUUCCACCUUUUUCCGGGUGGUUGUUACUCCCGCUUGCGACUGUUGAUGCCGAGGGAACCUAGUCUGCGUAUCUUCGUGUACGCGACUUUUUCUCUGCUGGCUCACGUGUCUAGGGAGUGGUGAUGAUCUUUACCUUGUUUCGGCGUCUUGACUUCGGUCGGCUGAACUUGGUGGGUGUCGAGGAGGUCUGAAAGGA
rnacentral:snoRNA from 1 species